rnacentral:rRNA from 1 species
GAUGAACGCUAGCGGCAGGCUUAACACAUGCAAGUCGAGGGGUAGAAGUUGCUUGCAACUUUGAGACCGGCGCACGGGUGCGUAACGCGUAUGCAAUCUACCUUAUACAGAGGGAUAGCCCAGAGAAAUUUGGAUUAAUACCUCAUAGUAUAAUUGAAUGGCAUCAUUUAAUUAUUAAAGUUCCAACGGUAUAAGAUGAGCAUGCGUACUAUUAGCUAGAUGGUAAGGUAACGGCUUACCAUGGCAACGAUAGGUAGGGGUCCUGAGAGGGAGAUCCCCCACACUGGUACUGAGACACGGACCAGACUCCUACGGGAGGCAGCAGUGAGGAAUAUUGGACAAUGGGCGCAAGCCUGAUCCAGCCAUGCCGCGUGCAGGAAGAAGCAUCUAUGGUGUGUAGACUGCUUUGUACGGGAAGAAACACCCCUUCGUGAAGGGACUUGACGGUACCGUAAGAAUAAGGAUCGGCUAACUCCGUGCCAGCCGCCGCGGUAAAAC